rnacentral:lncRNA from 1 species
UAAAUGUUUCUAAGUGCUCACACUGGUAUUCUCCCUCUGUGCUGCGGCAGAGCAGCCUGAAUUUAUAGCAUGUCUAGAGUUUUGUAUUGAAAAAGUAUAAAGACCUAUAGAAAAUCUUCCCAAAAGCCUCCUGAAGAAAUCUACACAUGUUGGCACCAUUGAGUGGUGUGAGCAGCCAAUUCAUACAUUAGAAAAGAAACUAGCAUUUAGGUAAUUUAAAUGUCUAGAAAGACUAGACUCUUGCAAACUUAAAGUUGGACUCUUUGAUUAAUUUAUUAUAUUAAGUCAAUGUUGGAAAAUACAACACGGUAUUAAAAACUUAUCUUAAAUGACUUUUUCCCAAAACUCCUACUAAGGAAUUAUUAAAGUUAAAUAUACUUUUGGCUUUAUACAGAUUACUUUAAUUCAACAACAAGAUGUAUAUUAUUUUAUAUACAAAAUAUAUACAUGUAUAUAAUUUAUAUAUAUAUUCAUUUUCUCUGAAGGCCAGGAGAAAAUAAAAACAAAAACAAACAAAACUCCUGUGUAGAUUUAAAAAUCAGCAGCCUAAACCAAAGCAAAACCUAAUAAAUGGGACUACAUCAAAUUCAAAAUCGUCAGCUCAGCAAAGGAAGCUAUCAACAAAAUGGAAAAUUUUGGAAAUCAUGUAUCCAAUAAGAUGUUAACAUUGAAAAUAUGCAAGAAACUCAUACAACUCAAUAGCACAAAAACAAACAACUCAUUUAAAAAUGAGCAAAGGACCUACAGACAUUUUUCUAAAGAAGAUAUAACAAAUGACCAGCAAAUACAUGAAAAUGUGCUCAGCAUCACUAAUGACCAAGGAAAUGCAAGUCAACACUAUAAUGAGAUAUUCCCACCUGUUAGGUCGAGUGAUAACAUAUGCCCUAAAGGAUAUGGAGAUAAGGAAACUCUAGCACACUGUUGGUGGUGCAAAUUUGUAUAGCCAUUACGGAUAAUAAUAAGGAUAAAUAAUGUGGUUCCUCAAGAAAUUAAAAAUAGAACUGCCAUAUGAUCUAGCAAUCCUACAUUUGGGUAUAUAUUCAAGGAAACAAAGUCAUUAUCUCAAAGAUAUCUAUGUAUCUCCAUGUUUAUUAUAGCAUUAUUCACAAUAGUCAAGAUAUAAAAACAAUUUAAGAUGCCCAUCAACAGAAAAAUGGAUAAAGCAAUGGAAUAAUAGCCUUAAAAAGAAAGAAAUCCUGUCAUAUGUGACAACAUGGAUGAACCUGGAGGGCAUUAGGCUAAGUGAAAUAAAACUGAUAAAGAAAGACAGAUACUCCAUUGUUUCACUUAUACCUGGAAUCUUAAAAACAAAAACACACUCAUAGAAACAGAGAGUAGAAAAGUGUUUGCCUGGGGCUGGGGUUGGGGAGGUAGUGGAAAUAGGGAGAGGUUGGUAAAGGGGUAUAAACUUUCAGUUAUAAAAUGAAUAAAGUCUAAGGAUCUAAUGUAUAAAAUGGUGACUAUAGUUGAUAACACUAAAUCAUAUACUUGAAAUUUGCCUAACUAAAGCAAUUUUAAUGAUUCUCAAAAAAUAUUCCAGUCAAUUCUAUGUUCACAGCUGAGAGAACCUUUAAUGACAAAGGCAUUUAGAAAAUAAUAAAUAAAGCAAAUACCUCUGUAAUAUAUCAGUGGUUAUUUUCUUCAAGAUAAUAUACGUACUUUGAGUAUAUUUCCUUGGGAAAAAAAAGUACACACAUACAUACACAUACAUGUAUGUAAAAACUAAAUACACAUAAAGAUCACAGUGCUGGUAUUUUGUUUCUUUUUAAGCAAAAUAUGGGUAUUUGUGAGUCGAAUUCUACAGCUUAAAAAUCAAGAAAAAUUUAAUCAGUGAGAAAACUGAAAAAUAAUUAUUGUGCAUCUUCAUUAAUGAUUAGCUUAAGACUGCUCUUGCAGAGCAUAAGGAAGCAUGUUUCCUGGGCCUGAUGUACUUUAUUUUUGUAGAGAUCUUUUUAGAUUGAAUUAUGUGUAUAUGUAAGGGCACUUGGUCAUCUGCUAGGUGCAUGACACCACAAGAUAAAUGCAGUGCAUCUUCCUAGAGUAACAAUUUUGUCCAAUGCUCUGGAGGUAGAGUAAGCUUAGUAUUUAACAGUAAGCAACUGAAGACUUUAUAUGAAAGCACACACACAAAGAUUAUAGGGCAGAAUGCAAAAUGCUCUUGAAAUUUUAUGAAAAAAAAGAUGAGGCAUCAAAUAAAUUUCCUCCAUGGUUGAUGGCAUAAUCUAUUUCCCUAAAUGGCAACAGAAGCAAGGAAACUUCUUAGAUGGGCUUAGAUCAGGUUUGCUCUCCUUAGAGGUACUUUGGGAGAAAUGUUUACUAUAUCAUUGCUCUAGUAGAUAAUUUAUUUUUCCUGUACCUAUGCAUCCUGCUUUUUACUUAACUUAUUAUUGGAAGAGUAGAAAGAUGAUGGCCAAGUAAGGUUGUUUUCUGGGUUUUAAGAACAAGUGCAGUAGUCCGUUCUAACUUUUAUCAAGGUCCAUUAGGUCUUUUUGGAUAGCCUCUGGGGUUGAAAGCUGGUGACAAUACCUACAACCCCAUUUCCAUCCUGUUGAGUUGGUCCUGAGUCCCAAACAUUGCUCCCUAGGGCUGUGGGUAAUGCCAGACAAUCAGUUCAGUCCGCACCAUUAACCUCCAGGGAUUAGUAGCUCUCUGUGCAAUUGAAUGUUCCCAGAUUCGUCCCUGUGGAGAGCCACCUGCCAAGACUCAGAACAUGCCAGACAAGCUAAGAAGCUAGUAAAAGAUUUAAAGCUCAAACUUGAGCUGAGCAAUCAGGCUAUUUUUCUUCCACAAUUUAUAGCUACUGUGGCAUGACCUAAUUUUUCAUUCGCAUUUUUUUAUUCCUUUAAAUUUUGUGGCCUGAUUUACCUGAUAGAAUUUUUUUCAUGAGAAUUAAUGGAAGUAGUUUCAAUUUUUCCAUCAUAAAAUUGGAAAACAUGCGCUAUUCAACAUACCUUUCAAAUCUGCAUUAAGUUCUCAUUGUGAAUACUUGAUAUGUAUUGAAAUAGGAGUUCUUGGCCUCUUGCAAGUGGGGACUAGCCUUUUUUGUAUGUGAUUGAGACACUCAACCAGUGAUAUGAAAGCAUGUAAGAAGCUCCAGUUCUGCACAGAGUUUACUCAAAGUGUGCAAAUCAUAAAACCCAGACUUGACUUGCCAUAGUUGAUGUACUGACAUAUAAAGUGGCAUAAGGUUAUCAAUUUACAUGCUUUAAAAGGGAUGCACAUUUUGUUAUCAAAAAUGAUAGACCAAGGAACAGAUGUACUCUGCUCCUGCCUGAAACAACCAAAAUCAAACAGAAUACAUAAAAAAACCAUUUUAAGGACUCUGGAUACUGGCUAAGAAGGGGCAGUAAAUCCUGAGAGAUGGAAAACAAGAAAAGCGUGUUGUGAUUUCCCCAGCUUACUGCCUGAAGCAUCCUGAGACUACAGUGCACAGAAAGAAAUCUCAGGUAAAGCCUAUCAACUCUCCAAGUUGAGUAAACUGAACUGAAAAUUUGGGGAGAAGAGCAUGGAAAGAUUUCGUCAAAUAGAAUCCUAGAGAACAGAGAGUUACACAGAGUGUAAAUUCCAGUCACUUUAGAGGCUCCUUCUCAGAUAUUGAGCAGAGUAUUUACUGAUCAGUGCACACUGAGAGAAAACUCCCCAAGGCUGGAUAGAAUCAUCUCAGAGGAAUAGAGAGGGACCCAUGCUCAGUUUUCACACUGGAAUAGGAAUAGUGCCUAUUUCCAUUACCCAGAGUAGAAAACCUCUUCAGGGCACACUGGUAGAGUGUUCAGAAAGUUCUCGACUCAGCAGUGGAAAAUGAUUAUCCUUAAACUAAAAGCAGCUCUGUUCUUACAUCUAGUGGAUAUUAUUCUUUUUUAAAAAUACCUAACGUAUCAAACUAUCUCUUAGUAACCAAACCGUAUUUUGGAAUAAAUCUCAUGAAUACCUCUAGGAAUACAAACAUAGAACAAAAAAAUUAUAAUAGUCACAACAUCUUGAAUUCAAAGAUUACUAGACAUGCAAAGAGGCAGAAUAUAACAUCCAUAAUGAGGAGGGAAAAAAUCAAUCAAUCAAAGCCAAUCCAUAAUCAACAUAGAUAUUAGAAUUAGCCAUUAAUGACAUUAAAACUGUAAUUAUAAUUGUAUUAUAAAAGUUUAAAAAUAUACAAAUUUGAUUUCUAAAGAUAGAAACUAUAGAUCUGCUCUGGACAAUACUCUAGAUGGAGUUGAUUACAGACUAGACAUUGCAGAAGAAAAUAGUAAUGAACUUGAAGAUAUAGCAGUAGAAACUACACAAAAUGAAACCAAGAUAGAAAACUAUAAGAAUAUCGGUGAUCUGUGCAACAACUUCCAGUAGCCUUUAAGAAUGUUAUUGGAGCUCCCAAAACAAAAUAUUUGAAGAAAUAAUGGCUAAACAUUUUUCAAAUUAAUUUUAAAAAGCCUAUAAAUCCUUAGAUCCAAAAAGCUCAAUGCACCCUAAACACAACACACUUGAAGAAAACCAUAUGUAAUUCAUAAUC